AUCACCCUGGCAGAGCCUGUCCGAAGGACUGCUGUGCUGUGUUGGUGAGCUGAGCGCAGCUUAGGCUGAACAGGCCCAACAGGGUUCCUGUUUGCAGGGAGAUUUGGAGGAUCGAGGCAGUCUUAGGAAGAGUGAAGCCAGCUCUUUCCAAGAGCAGGGAAAGUUCCUGUGGAGAGAGCUUGUGAGAGAACUUGUGCUUCCUCUGACACUUGAGCGAUCAUGUCUCAGCAAGGAGACAAGUGCGGAUCCAAUGCCUGCUCUGUGAGCGGAAAGAUGCAGCCAGCAGACUGCCAGACAUCCAGCUGCACCUUUCAGCGCGCAGAGGGACGCAAUGGGGAUGGACUGUCUUUACUGCCACGCAAAAGGACAGAGCCCGUGCGUCCAUGCAAUGGUGCUGGGCAAGGUGGGAAACGGAAAGCCCACGCAGAAGAUGACGCAAGCGGCCUUCCAGCAAAGCGCAGCCUUGCGGCAGGUCUGGGUAGGACUGCAGCCUGUGACGUGGCACCCAAGAGAGGUACAGAGGCACAACAGGCAUCAGGGUUUGAUUCAAUGUCUUUCUAGUUAGGCUUUCUGUCCUUUCUUUCUUCAUACUCCUUUUGCUGCGUGUUGCUUGAGGUCUUCGUCCCUGGGAUUUACAAUUACCUUCCCUGUCCAGAUUUGAAAUGCAAACCCACACUUCAGCUAAGAUCCUAAGAUC
rnacentral:lncRNA from 1 species